rnacentral:rRNA from 1 species
CCUACGUGUGGCAGCAGUGGGGAAUAUUGUGCAAUGGGGGCAACCCUGACGCAGCCAUGCCGCGUGAAUGAAGAAGGCCUUCGGGUUGUAAAGUUCUUUCGGUAGCGAGGAAGGCAUUUAGUUUAAUAGACUAGGUGAUUGACGUUAACUACAGAAGAAGCACCGGCUAACUCCGUGCCAGCAGCCGCGGUAAUACGGAGGGUGCGAGCGUUAAUCGGAAUAACUGGGCGUAAAGGGCACGCAGGCGGUGACUUAAGUGAGGUGUGAAAGCCCCGGGAUUAACCUGGGAAUUGCAUUUCAUACUGGGUCGCUAGAGUACUUUAGGGAUGGGUAGAAUUCCACGUGUAGCGGUGAAAUGCGUAGAGAUGUGGAGGAAUACCGAAGGCGAAGGCAGCCCCUUGGGAAUGUACUGACGCUCAUGUGCGAAAGCGUGUGGAGCAAACAGGAUUAGAUACCCGUGUAGUC